rnacentral:lncRNA from 1 species
AGCCUUCAUUUCUUCCCCUGAUGGUAAGAAGAAUCCCACAGGUCUCCAGGCAGCAGCAGCCUGCGUUCCCUAUUUCCCUGUGCAAGAUAGUACUUACCCGUGGCGCUACCGCUUCGGGGCAAGUAGGGCUGGGACAUACUCUCUGCACACUUCAGCACCGGGGACAGCUCCGGACUCGCUGACUUCGCACACUCUUCCCGGCUGGGCGCGGCGGCCUGAGCCUCCCAGGCUGCCGGCGGAUAGCGCGUCUCUGCCCGCCCGGGUCCUAGCCUCCGGGUCUUGGGGAAGGCGAAUGUGUCUCUUCGAGCAGCGGGAGCAGCCGGUGGCUCCUCGCGCUGCGGUGGCGACGAGCCCAACUGCACCACAGAGCUGCGGGACCGAGCCAACGCGGAGGAGAAGGAGCCCAUCUCAGCGGGCCAAGCUGGACCCAACCUCCUCAUCAACAGUUUCUUCAGCCCUUCACCCUAUGUUCUUGCCACACUGUGCUCCUCACAGUUGCCUAGGAAAGCCCCAUGACUUCUGGCCACAUUCACGGGCACUUUCUGCACCCUCUGCAUGAAAGGGGCCCACUGUCUAUUUGGAGAUAUACCCAUCAUUCUAUUUAUUCAGCAUAUACUCCUCUCUACACCAAGAGUAGGCCAAGCAGUGAUGAAUCAGAAGUGAAGAAGACAAGGUCUCAGCCUAACCUGGGAAUUGUACUAUACAUGUGCUAUCUACCUUGAAUCAUCCGGACUUUGAAAAUGCACUGAUGUCCAACCAUUGCAUAGCUGCGAGUGGCAAUGUGGCUUCCCUCAGAGUACCAGGAUAUUUCCAGUGUUGAUCAUUCUGAAUGAAAGAAGAGCCCUCAAAGGAGACUGAUGGGGAACAUUCAGAGGCGGAAGUAGACCAGGAGAGACCAAGACAAGACAACCAGAGGAGGAGGAAGAAGUGACCAGCAAUGCAACCGCCAUGGAGAGGUCCAGCAAGAAGAGGAAUUAAAUAUGUCCAUGUGUUUUGGAAACCCCCUUUUGCAGUGUUUCAAUGGAAAGACAGAGGCAGAAGUCAUAUUACUGUGGGCUAUAAAAUGAAAUAGGGGGUAUAGAAUUGUAGAGACUGGAUGUGGUUUUUUUCUUUUGAAAGAAUAGGAAUUCUAUUUUAGAACUAGAUAGGGGAGACGGGUGGGAAGAAAAAGUGUAAACACAGCAGCUGAGUCAUUUCCCAAAGCAAAGCCAGCUAUAUUGUGAUACAGAAAGAGCACUGGAUUUGGAGUAAAAGAAAAACUUGCAUGCAAAUCCUGAUUAUGAGGGACGCCUGGGUGGCUCAGUCGUUAAGCAUCUGCCUUUGGCUCAGGGCGUGAUCCCGGCAUUCUGGGAUCGAGCCCCACAUCAGGCUCCUCCGCUGGAAGCCUGCUUCUUCCUCUCCCUCUCCCCCUGCUUGUGUUCCCUCUCUCGCUGGCUGUCUCUAUCUCUGUCAAAUAAAUAAAAAACUCUCAAAUCCUGAUUAUGAGAU